UCACAUAAGGAAUAUGUUUAAGAGGAUAAUUUUGCGUGACAUGGUGAAGUGAUAAGGUGCUCUUGUAACGGACAACAAUUUUUGUUUAUUUUCCAUUUCCUCACACAACACGCACAUCAUGAAAAUAAAAAAAAUAAAAUAACGAUUUCACCAAAAGAGAAAAAAACUUUCACGAGGAUGAUUUUUUUUUCCUGAAUUUGGUGGAAUAGAAACAGUUGUAAAGAGAUAGAGAGAGUGAAGAAGAAAGAUGUAAAGACCAAAAUUGUUUCUCGCAGGGUGUGUUUACCAAAUAAUUCCCCCACAAAACCAAACAGACCAAAAUACAUAAUGUUUGUUUCUCAAUUAAGUUGAAAUCAUCCUAUAGUAGAAUUUCCUAAUUAUGUAUAUAUAUAUGCUGUUCGGAGUACAAUACCUUCGUGACAUUUAUGCCCACAGACCCUCCCAAAAGUUUCAGAACGCAUGGCAGUAACGAGAGAGAAAGAUGAGAAAAAUAUCAAACAAUGAAAGGGCGUACAGAACCGCAAAAAAUAUAAAAUAAUAGUUUUUCUUAUUAUUCCCAAGAUAUUACACCAACAAAACAAAACAAAAACGAAUCCUUAAUAAAUUUUUUUUUUUUUUUCGUCUGUCAAUUAAAGGGAAGAUGGAGGACGAAACAAGUAUGGGUUAAUUCUGUUUGCUGCAAAACUCUGAUUAUAUGGCACACGAAUUUCGCACAUCAAACGACGGCGGUCACAUUAGGGAGAGUUAAUCAUAUAAAAAAAAUUGUGUGUAACGGAAGUAGACGGGCGGGAAAUUCAAAUGAAUCGUAUGGGGGAAACGGAGGACUAUAAACGAAUCCCAAACAAUUUCCCAGAAAAAAAAAGAAAAAUGGUCCUAAAAACUACAUUUUAUAUAAAUAAAUUCAUGUAUAUAAUCUAAUAAUAUUAUAUACAUAUAUCUGAGACAACGGCGAUAUGCACCGCUGUAACGAGGAUCGUUGUGAUGUGUCUAUCAGCAAAGCAAUCAUUUAAAAAAAUUUAAUGAUGGCAUUUUUUAGAACUGUCCUUUGCUUUUAAUUUUAAGAGACACUCAAUUUUUCUUUUCUAGGUAAUUUUGCCUAACUAGUGGACGAUCUUCAACGUCGUUGCAUGCCGUGUCUGAUCUCUCGAAUGGAUGCAAAUUAGAAAUGAAAGUAAAAAGCAAACAAGAGCGACAAUGGACAAAAUAAAAUGUUCGUACUCACUACACGCCAACUCAAACGGGAAGAACGGAUGUAAAGGAGGAAGCUCUUUAAUUCAAGAGAUUCAUAGAGAAGCAUUUCCUCGAACUGUUCUAGGAGAAUCAGGGAAAGGUGAUACAAAUGAUAGACUACAAAAUUUCAACUCCAUAAAAUGAAGAAAUCAACGAUACAACUAAAUACAGUACAACAACGCAUAAUAUAAUGUAAUACAGCACUCGAAAUUAUAGAGGAAAAUCAUAAUCAGCUACUCCCAAAUGUAAUGAAUGGACGUAACAAUAAAAGUGCAAUUUCCCUAUUCUGUACCUUUGUUUGACUCGACAUACCUUUUCUUCCUGUUGAGGAAACGUCAUCGUUUCGGGUAUUAGGGUAAGGAGGAAAAUAGAAAUAAAAAAAAAUAUAUAUAUCUUAUCCAUCCAGUAUCCCAGAGACAUGUCGGAGUGGUAAAAUAGAAAUGAGCGGUCAAGAUUUAGUUUUUUAAAUCACCGUUUUAAAAAAAAAAAGAACAGAAGAAACCCAAGGAAAAAGCAACAUAAUAAUGCGCGAUGUAUAUAUAUAUAUAUAUUGUGGGGCUAAUACAAUCAGGUGGUGAAAUAUUUAGGAGGGGAAAAAAUCAGACAACCAAGUACAAGAAAAAAGGUGAAAAAAAAAAAAAUAAUAAUAAGAGAUGUGCGCGUCUUUCA